UACAGAGGUGCCAAGCGUUAGGCGGAAUCACUGGCUUAAAGCGCGUGUAGGUGGGUCGUUAAGUGUCCGCGUGAAAUCCCACGGCUCAACCGUGGAACUGCCGGGCAUACUGGCGAUCUUGAGGCAUUCAGGGGCGAGCGGAACAAGUGGUGGAGCGGUGAAAUGCGUAGAUAUCACUUGGAACGCCAAUGGUGAAAACAGCUCGCUGGGAAUGAUCUGACACUGAGACGCGAAAGCCAGGGGAGCGAACGGG
rnacentral:rRNA from 1 species